AUUGAACGCUGGCGGCAGGCUUAACACAUGCAAGUCGAGCGGGGAAAGGUAGCUUGCUACUGGACCUAGCGGCGGACGGGUGAGUAAUGCUUAGGAAUCUGCCUAUUAGUGGGGGACAACAUCUCGAAAGGGAUGCUAAUACCGCAUACGUCCUACGGGAGAAAGCAGGGGACCUUCGGGCCUUGCGCUAAUAGAUGAGCCUAAGUCGGAUUAGCUAGUUGGUGGGGUAAAGGCCUACCAAGGCGACGAUCUGUAGCGGGUCUGAGAGGAUGAUCCGCCACACUGGGACUGAGACACGGCCCAGACUCCUACGGGAGGCAGCAGUGGGGAAUAUUGGACAAUGGGGGGAACCCUGAUCCAGCCAUGCCGCGUGUGUGAAGAAGGCCUUUUGGUUGUAAAGCACUUUAAGCGAGGAGGAGGCUACCGAGAUUAAUACUCUUGGAUAGUGGACGUUACUCGCAGAAUAAGCACCGGCUAACUCUGUGCCAGCAGCCGCGGUAACAC
rnacentral:rRNA from 1 species